GAUGAACGCUGGCGGCGUGCUUAACACAUGCAAGUCGAACGGUGAACGAGGGAGCUUGCUCCCUCCGGAUCAGUGGCGAACGGGUGAGUAACACGUGAGCAAUCUGCCCUGGACUCUGGGAUAAGCGUUGGAAACGACGUCUAAUACCGGAUACGAGGCGUGGGGGCAUCCCCAACGCCUGGAAAGAACUUCGGUCCAGGAUGAGCUCGCGGCCUAUCAGCUAGUUGGUGAGGUAACGGCUCACCAAGGCGACGACGGGUAGCCGGCCUGAGAGGGUGACCGGCCACACUGGGACUGAGACACGGCCCAGACUCCUACGGGAGGCAGCAGUGGGGAAUAUUGCACAAUGGGCGCAAGCCUGAUGCAGCAACGCCGCGUGAGGGACGACGGCCUUCGGGUUGUAAACCUCUUUUAGCAGGGAAGAAGCGAAAGUGACGGUACCUGCAGAAAAAGCACCGGCUAACUUCGUGCCAGCAGCCGCGGUAACAC
rnacentral:rRNA from 1 species